UACGUAGGGUGCGAGCGUUGUCCGGAUUUACUGGGCGUAAAGGGCGCGUAGGCGGCGCAACAAGUCACUUGUGAAAUCUCCGGGCUUAACCCGGAGCGGUCAAGUGAUACUGUCGUGCUAGAGUGCGGAAGGGGCUACUGGAAUUCUCGGUGUAGCGGUGAAAUGCGUAGAUAUCAAGAGGAACACCUGCGGGCGAAGGCGGUUCUCUAGUACGGUACUGACGCUGAGAACGCGAAAGCGUGGGGAGCGAACAGG
rnacentral:rRNA from 1 species